GUGGGGAAUAUUGCGCAAUGGGGGAAACCCUGACGCAGCGACGCCGUGUGAGGGAAGAAGGCUUUCGGGUCGUAAACCUCUGUCAGAAAGGAAGAACCUCCCAAGUCCGAAUAGGGCUUGGGACUGACGGUACUUUCAAAGGAAGCACCGGCUAACUCCGUGCCAGCAGCCGCGGUAAUACGGAGGGUGCAAGCGUUAAUCGGAAUCACUGGGCGUAAAGCGCGCGUAAGCCGCUUUGUAAGUCGGACGACAAAGCCCUCGGCUCAACCGGGGAACUGAGUUCGAUGCUGCGAGGCUUGAGUCCUGGAGAGGGUGGCGGAAGUCCGGGUGUAGGAGUGAAAUCCGUAGAUAUCCGGAGGAACACCGGUGGCGAAGGCGGCCACCUGGACAGGUACUGACGCUGAGGCGCGAAAGCGUGGGGAGCAAACAGGAUUAGAAGCCCCAGUAGUCC
rnacentral:rRNA from 1 species